UAGUCAUAUGCUCCGCGCCACGCCUAAGCCAUGCAUGUCCCGUCCCGCCUCGCCCGACUGCGCCCAGCUCCGCACACCGGUUUCUCUGCACCGCACCAUCCYCUCCUAGUCGGUCCACGCUGGGAAACUAGCGCCCUGCCGUGCACACGCCCGCAGACGCAGCACUCUGCCCGCCAACCGCCACGCGGCACGUGCGCCCGGAUUCCGCCCCAUCAACCCCGCCGUCUUGUCUUUGCCCACGGCAGUCCUGACGGGUCACGGAGGAUUCGGGUCCGACUCCGGAGAGUGAGCCUGCCAGACAGCUCACACGUCCAUGGACGGCAGCAGGCGCGCAACCUACCCACUCCUCGCUGAGGGAGGUGGUGACGCCCAGUCCCGCGUGUCUGCACAGCAGCACUCGGCACGGCCCCCGCACAUCACACCCGGCCACCCCAGAAGAGGGCAAGUCUGGUGCCAGCAGCCGCGGUAAUUCCAGCUCUUCUCGUGUAUAUUAACGCUGCUGCGUUUAAAGCGCCCGUAGUCGCACACGCCGUCCCCAUAAGGAACUUGGAGCGCCCGUUGCCGACGUUGUCUGGCACGCUUCAGUAUGGUCCGACCACCACAGAGAGGGGCGGUCCGGGGCACUAGUACUGGGCCGUGAGAGGUAAAAUCCUAUGAUCGCCCCAAGACUGUCCGAGGCGAAGGCGUCUGCCACGCACGCUUUCUUUGAUCAAGGACGAGAGUUGGGCGAGAGAAGGAGAUCAGACACCUCCGUAUUCCCAACCGUAAACGAUGCCGACCCGCAGUGCGCCUGUCGCAUGGCACGUGCGCUGCACCCGAGUAAUCCUGAGUGUCCAGGCCACGGGGGGAGUAUGGUCGCAAGGCAGAAACUUAAAGGAAUUGACGGAAGGGCGCCACAAUCGGCGUGGAGCCUGCGGCUUAAUUGGAUUCAACGCCGCGCACCUCACCAGGCCCAGACCCGCCGGGGAUUGACAGACUGAAGCUCUUUCGCGAUUGCGGGAGUGGUGGUGCAUGGCCGUUCUCAGUUCGUGGGGUGACCCCUCUGCUCAACUGCGACAACGGACGAGACCUCCUCCCCUGCGAUGCGGGGGGACACGUGCCGAGAGGCGCGGGAGGCGCGAGGCAAUAACAGGUCUGUGAUGCCCUUCGAUGGAUCUCUGGGCCGCACGCGUGCUACAAUGCCGGAGACAGAGGGUGUCCAAGUCCGAGUGGACGAGGGAUCCUCGAGUGUCCCGCGUGGUUGGGAUCGACGUCUGCAACUUUCCGUCGUGAACCCGGAAUGCCUCGUAAGCGCGUGUCACCAUCGCGCGCUGAAUGCGUCCCCGCCCUUUGUACACACCGCCCGUCGCUCCUACCGAUUGGACGUUGCGGUGAGCUGUCCGGACGCACUGCGGAAGCCCCGCGAUCCCCCGCGUCUAGAGGAAGGAGAAGUCGUAACAAGGUUUCC
rnacentral:rRNA from 1 species